rnacentral:rRNA from 1 species
CGUACGCUGGCGGCACGCCUAACACAUGCAAGUCGAACGAAGUAGCAAUACUUAGUGGCAGACGGGUGAGUAACAUGUAGGUAUCUGCCCUUUGGCCUGGAAUAACACGAGGAAACUUGUGCUAAUACCGGAUAAGUCUUUACGGAGAAAGCUUUAUGCACCAUUGGAGGAGCCUGCACUAGAUUAGUUUGUUGGUGGGGUAAUGGCCUACCAAGACUGUGAUCUAUAGCUGAUUUGAGAGGAUGAUCAGCCACAUUGGGACUGAGACACGGCCCAAACUCCUACGGGAGGCAGCAGUGGGGAAUCUUGCACAAUGGAGGAAACUCUGAUGCAGCGAUGCCGCGUGAGUGAAGAAGGCCUUUGGGUUGUAAAGCUCUUUCGUCGGGGAAGAAAAUGACUGUACCCGAAUAAGAAGGUCCGG